GGUUAAGCGACUAAGCGUACACGGUGGAUGCCCUGGCAGUCAGAGGCGAUGAAGGACGUGCUAAUCUGCGAUAAGCGUCGGUAAGGUGAUAUGAACCGUUAUAACCGGCGAUUUCCGAAUGGGGAAACCCAGUGUGUUUCGACACACUAUCAUUAACUGAAUCCAUAGGUUAAUGAGGCGAACCGGGGGAACUGAAACAUCUAAGUACCCCGAGGAAAAGAAAUCAACCGAGAUUCCCCCAGUAGCGGCGAGCGAACGGGGAGGAGCCCAGAGCCUGAAUCAGUGUGUGUGUUAGUGGAAGCGUCUGGAAAGGCGCGCGAUACAGGGUGACAGCCCCGUACACAAAAAUGCACAUGCUGUGAGCUCGAUGAGUAGGGCGGGACACGUGGUAUCCUGUCUGAAUAUGGGGGGACCAUCCUCCAAGGCUAAAUACUCCUGACUGACCGAUAGUGAACCAGUACCGUGAGGGAAAGGCGAAAAGAACCCCGGCGAGGGGAGUGAAAAAGAACCUGAAACCGUGUACGUACAAGCAGUGGGAGCACGCUUAGGCGUGUGACUGCGUACCUUUUGUAUAAUGGGUCAGCGACUUAUAUUCUGUAGCAAGGUUAACCGAAUAGGGGAGCCGAAGGGAAACCGAGUCUUAACUGGGCGUUAAGUUGCAGGGUAUAGACCCGAAACCCGGUGAUCUAGCCAUGGGCAGGUUGAAGGUUGGGUAACACUAACUGGAGGACCGAACCGACUAAUGUUGAAAAAUUAGCGGAUGACUUGUGGCUGGGGGUGAAAGGCCAAUCAAACCGGGAGAUAGCUGGUUCUCCCCGAAAGCUAUUUAGGUAGCGCCUCGUGAAUUCAUCUCCGGGGGUAGAGCACUGUUUCGGCAAGGGGGUCAUCCCGACUUACCAACCCGAUGCAAACUGCGAAUACCGGAGAAUGUUAUCACGGGAGACACACGGCGGGUGCUAACGUCCGUCGUGAAGAGGGAAACAACCCAGACCGCCAGCUAAGGUCCCAAAGUCAUGGUUAAGUGGGAAACGAUGUGGGAAGGCCCAGACAGCCAGGAUGUUGGCUUAGAAGCAGCCAUCAUUUAAAGAAAGCGUAAUAGCUCACUGGUCGAGUCGGCCUGCGCGGAAGAUGUAACGGGGCUAAACCAUGCACCGAAGCUGCGGCAGCGACGCUUAUGCGUUGUUGGGUAGGGGAGCGUUCUGUAAGCCUGUGAAGGUGUGCUGUGAGGCAUGCUGGAGGUAUCAGAAGUGCGAAUGCUGACAUAAGUAACGAUAAAGCGGGUGAAAAGCCCGCUCGCCGGAAGACCAAGGGUUCCUGUCCAACGUUAAUCGGGGCAGGGUGAGUCGACCCCUAAGGCGAGGCCGAAAGGCGUAGUCGAUGGGAAACAGGUUAAUAUUCCUGUACUUGGUGUUACUGCGAAGGGGGGACGGAGAAGGCUAUGUUGGCCGGGCGACGGUUGUCCCGGUUUAAGCGUGUAGGCUGGUUUUCCAGGCAAAUCCGGAAAAUCAAGGCUGAGGCGUGAUGACGAGGCACUACGGUGCUGAAGCAACAAAUGCCCUGCUUCCAGGAAAAGCCUCUAAGCAUCAGGUAACAUCAAAUCGUACCCCAAACCGACACAGGUGGUCAGGUAGAGAAUACCAAGGCGCUUGAGAGAACUCGGGUGAAGGAACUAGGCAAAAUGGUGCCGUAACUUAGGGAGAAGGCACGCUGAUAUGUAGGUGAAGCGACUUGCUCGUGGAGCUGAAAUCAGUCGAAGAUACCAGCUGGCUGCAACUGUUUAUUAAAAACACAGCACUGUGCAAACACGAAAGUGGACGUAUACGGUGUGACGCCUGCCCGGUGCCGGAAGGUUAAUUGAUGGGGUCAGCGCAAGCGAAGCUCUUGAUCGAAGCCCCGGUAAACGGCGGCCGUAACUAUAACGGUCCUAAGGUAGCGAAAUUCCUUGUCGGGUAAGUUCCGACCUGCACGAAUGGCGUAAUGAUGGCCAGGCUGUCUCCACCCGAGACUCAGUGAAAUUGAACUCGCUGUGAAGAUGCAGUGUACCCGCGGCAAGACGGAAAGACCCCGUGAACCUUUACUAUAGCUUGACACUGAACAUUGAGCCUUGAUGUGUAGGAUAGGUGGGAGGCUUAGAAGUGUGGACGCCAGUCUGCAUGGAGCCGACCUUGAAAUACCACCCUUUAAUGUUUGAUGUUCUAACGUUGACCCGUAAUCCGGGUUGCGGACAGUGUCUGGUGGGUAGUUUGACUGGGGCGGUCUCCUCCUAAAGAGUAACGGAGGAGCACGAAGGUUGGCUAAUCCUGGUCGGACAUCAGGAGGUUAGUGCAAUGGCAUAAGCCAGCUUGACUGCGAGCGUGACGGCGCGAGCAGGUGCGAAAGCAGGUCAUAGUGAUCCGGUGGUUCUGAAUGGAAGGGCCAUCGCUCAACGGAUAAAAGGUACUCCGGGGAUAACAGGCUGAUACCGCCCAAGAGUUCAUAUCGACGGCGGUGUUUGGCACCUCGAUGUCGGCUCAUCACAUCCUGGGGCUGAAGUAGGUCCCAAGGGUAUGGCUGUUCGCCAUUUAAAGUGGUACGCGAGCUGGGUUUAGAACGUCGUGAGACAGUUCGGUCCCUAUCUGCCGUGGGCGCUGGAGAACUGAGGGGGGCUGCUCCUAGUACGAGAGGACCGGAGUGGACGCAUCACUGGUGUUCGGGUUGUCAUGCCAAUGGCACUGCCCGGUAGCUAAAUGCGGAAGAGAUAAGUGCUGAAAGCAUCUAAGCACGAAACUUGCCCCGAGAUGAGUUCUCCCUGACCCUUUAAGGGUCCUGAAGGAACGUUGAAGACGACGACGUUGAUAGGCCGGGUGUGUAAGCGCAGCGAUGCGUUGAGCUAACCGGUACUAAUGAACCGUGAGGCUUAACCUU
rnacentral:rRNA from 1 species